UACGUAGGGCGCGAGCGUUGUCCGGAAUUAUUGGGCGUAAAGGGCUUGUAGGCGGCUGGUCGCGUCUGCCGUGAAAUCCUCUGGCUCAGCUGGGGGCGUGCGGUGGGUACGGGCUGGCUUGAGUGCGGUAGGGGAGACUGGAACUCCUGGUGUAGCGGUGGAAUGCGCAGAUAUCAGGAGGAACACCGGUGGCGAAGGCGGGUCUCUGGGCCGUUACUGACGCUGAGGAGCGAAAGCGUGGGGAGCGAACAGGAUUAGAUACCCUGGUAGUCCACGCUGUAAACGUUGGGCACUAGGUGUGGGGGGCCUUUUCCGGGUUUUCCGCGCCGUAGCUAACGCAUUAAGUGCCCCGCCUGGGGAGUACGGCCGCAAGGCUAAAGCUCAAAGGAAUUGACGGGGGCCCGCACAAGCGGCGGAGCAUGCGGAUUAAUUCGAUGCAACGCGAAGAACCUUACCAAGGCUUGACAUGGGCUGGAUUGCUUCGGAGACGGGGUUUCCCUUUUUUGGGCUGGUUCACAGGUGGUGCAUGGUUGUCGUCAGCUCGUGUCGUGAGAUGUG
rnacentral:rRNA from 1 species